rnacentral:rRNA from 1 species
GACGGAAGGUGCAAGCGUUGCUCGGAAUCACUGGGCGUAAAGGGUGCGUAGGCGGCUUGGUGGGUCUGGUGUGAAAGCCCCCGGCUCAACUGGGGAGGGUCACGCGAUACUGAUCGACUCGAAGGCAGGAGAGGGAAGUGGAAUUCCCGGUGUAGUGGUGAAAUGCGUAGAUAUCGGGAGGAACACCAGUGGCGAAGGCGACUUCCUGGCCUGUUCUUGACGCUGAGGCGCGAAAGCUAGGGGAGCAAACGGGG